rnacentral:pre_miRNA from 1 species
AUUAUACUCACGCAGUCCAACAAAAAAUGUUUCAAGUUUAUCAAAAUUUGAAUGUAUCACAUGACUUAUUGUAUAGAUGCAUUCAAAUUUAGUUAAAGUUGAGACAUCAUUUGUUGGACGGAGGGAGUACUAC